rnacentral:rRNA from 1 species
AGUAGCGCACUAGCCAGAUACGAGAGGGGAUCGACUGUUUAACAAAAACAUAGCUGCAUGCAAAUCUUGAGUGAAUCGUAAAUGCUGCGAGGCCUGCCCAGUGUCUUUAGUUGAAAUGCGGGAAGGGGAAACUCUUCAUCUGCUACAAGAUCAGAUAAACGGCCGCGGUAACCUUGACCGUGCUAAGGUAGCAAAAUCAAUUGCCUAUUAAUUGUAGGCGAGUAUGAAGGUUUAACGAGUCUCCUACUGUCUCAAGUCCAAUCCCAGAAAAUUGGAAUCGAGGUGAAGAUACCUUGAAAGCUUAGUGGGACGAGAAGACCCUAUAGAGCUUUAUUGAAGCCUUUGCGGGGUGGAGCGGGACCUGGAUCCUGGAAGAGUUACACAUGGGAUAGGAAACUUCUCAACUCAGAUCGAGUAAUGCUUAAACCUGCAAGACCCUUGAUAGGAAGGCUCUCAGUUUAGUUGGGAAAUCUGCCCUUGAAAAUGAAAAAAGGUGCUAAUGACCGCAUGGGGGUAAAAUUAAUAGAUAUCCUCUAUUUAUACGGAUGACUCUUGGGUAUACGUAUCGGGUGAGAAAUCAUGGUUAGAAUUUG